CGCAGCCGCGGUAAUUCCAGCUCCAAUAGCGUAUAUUAAAGUUGUUGCAGUUAAAAAGCUCGUAGUUGAAUUUUGGGAUCAAAGGAUCGGUCAUGCCUUGGUAUGUACUGGUUUUUAUUGGUUCUCACCUUCUAAAGAACCAUAAUGUCAUUCAUUUGAUGUUAUGGGGAAUUAGGACUGUUACCUUGAAAAAAAUUAGAGUGUUUAAAGCAGGCUUACGCUUGAAUACAUUAGCAUGGAAUAAUGAAAUAGGACAUCAGAUUCUAUUUUGUUGGUUUCUAGGAUCGAUGUAAUGAUUAAUAGGGAUAGUUGGGGGCAUUAGUAUUCAAUUGUCAGGGGUGAAAUUCUUGGAUUUAUUGAAGACUAACUACUGCGAAAGCAUUUGCCAAGGAUGUUUUCAUUAAUCAAGAACGAAAGUUAGGGGAAUCGAAGACGAUCAGAUACCGUCGUAGUCUUAACCAUAAACUAUGCCGACUAGGGAUCGGGAUGAUAGUUUAAUUUUAUAAUGACUCAUUCGGA
rnacentral:rRNA from 1 species